GACGAACGCUGGCGGCGUGCUUAACACAUGCAAGUCGAGCGGUAAGGCCCUUUCGGGGGUACACGAGCGGCGAACGGGUGAGUAACACGUGGGUGACCUGCCUUUAGCUCUGGGAUAAGCCUGGGAAACUGGGUCUAAUACCGGAUACGACUCCGCGGUGCAUGCUGUGGGGUGGAAAGCCUUGUGCGGCUGGAGAUGGGCCCG
rnacentral:rRNA from 1 species